UACAUGGGGUGCAAACGUUGCUCGGAAUUAUUGGGCGUAAAGCGCGCGUAGGCGGUUACUCAAGUCGGAUGUGAAAGCCCUCGGCUUAACUGAGGAAGUGCACCCGAAACUGAGUAGCUAGAGUACUAAAGAGGGUCGCGGAAUUCCCGGUGUAGAGGUGAAAUUCGUAGAUAUCGGGAGGAACACCGGUGGCGAAGGCGGCGACCUGGGUAGAUACUGACGCUGAGGCGCGAAAGCGGGGGGAGCAAACAGG
rnacentral:rRNA from 1 species